rnacentral:rRNA from 3 species
GUUGACCUCGAAUCAGGUAGGACUA